AUGUGGAUAAUUUUGCAACAACAAAAAUGUUUUUAAAUUCUGAUUUUAUGAUGUGGGUUUGUUCUGAAGGCUGUGGGUGUUUAAAGUUGUAAAUAAUUACAUGUUAUGUUCUCAAUAAUCAUUUAAAAAAAUGUAAAUUAUCUUUCUUAGGGUUGUUUUUAUUUUCAUGAGAGCUUUAUCUGGGCCUGUCCUCAUGUCCGGGUGAUCCGGGCCUGUCUUCAUGUCCGGGUGAUCUGGGCCUGUCUUCAUGUCCAGGUGAUCUGGGCCUGUCUUCAUGUCCGGGUGAUCCGGGCCUGUCUUCAUGUCCGGGUGAUCCGGGCCUGUCUUCAUGUCCGGGUGAUCCGGGCCUGUCUUCAUGUCCGGGUGAUCCGGGCCUGUCUUCAUGUCCGGGUGAUCCGGGCCUGUCUUCAUGUCCGGGUGGUCCGGGCCUGUCUUCAUGUCCAGGUGAUCUGGGCCUGUCUUCAUGUCCGGGUGAUCUGGGCCUGUCUUCAUGUCCGGGUGAUCUGGGCCUGUCUUCAUGUCCGGGUGAUCUGGGUGGGGUCAGUCGGUCAUCCAGGUGAUCUGGGUGGGGUCAGUCGGUCAUCCAGGUGAUCUGGGUGGGGUCAGUCGGUCAUCCAGGUGAUCUGGGUGGGGUCAGUCGGUCAUCCAGGUGAUCUGGGUGGGGUCAGUCGGUCAUCCAGGUGAUCUGGGUGGGGUCAGUCGGUCAUCCAGGUGAUCUGGGUGGGGUCAGUCGGUCAUCCAGGUGAUCUGGGUGGGGUCAGUCGGUCAUCCAGGUGAUCUGGGUGGGGUCAGUCGGUCAUCCAGGUGAUCUGGGUGGGGUCAGUCGGUCAUCCAGGUGAUCUGGGUGGGGUCAGUCGGUCAUCCAGGUGAUCUGGGUGGGGUCAGUCGGUCAUCCAGGUGAUCUGGGUGGGGUCAGUCGGUCAUCCAGGUGAUCUGGGUGGGGUCAGUCGGUCAUCCAGGUGAUCUGGGUGGGGUCAGUCGGUCAUCCAGGUGAUCUGGGUGGGGUCAGUCGGUCAUCCAGGUGAUCUGGGUGGGGUCAGUCGGUCAUCCAGGUGAUCUGGGUGGGGUCAGUCGGUCAUCCAGGUGAUCCGGGUGGGGUCAGUCGGUCAUCCAGGUGAUCCGGGUGGGGUCAGUCGGUCAUCCAGGUGAUCUGGGUGGGGUCAGUCGGUCAUCCAGGUGAUCCGGGUGGGGUCAGUCGGUCAUCCAGGUGAUCUGGGUGGGGUCAGUCGGUCAUCCAGGUGAUCGACCGACCCCAAAGUGCUACAUGUUUAAUGACGACAGACACCGGUCACGAUGGCUUGAACCCCGGGUCACAAGACUUGCGUUAGCUUCCUGAGCGAAGGGCUGAGCCUCGGCAUUAUCUCCAAGAGCUAAACAAGUCUUCAUGUUCACAGAAUCACCUCCGUUACAUAAACCUCCACAACUUCUGGUCACAUGACUCCAGUCUCAGCUCUCUCCUCUUCCCGACUCUAUCCUGACCCAAUCUGAGAUGGGUUGUACCGCCCUGAGGAGAAGUUGGCCCUAACCACAAAUCUAGGAUCAUCUUCUUCACCUCUUAACCUUAAAGCAUUGAGGGGAAACAGAACUGAUUCAAGAUCAGCGUCUGUCAGCUUCUGGUCACAUGACCCCAGUCCCAUCUCUCUCCUCCAUGUGUAUAAAUAUAGCUGGAUGUUUUUCCAACGCUGCUUCUAUCUUCCUGAGUCUCGCUCAUUCUCCUCCUUUCUUUGUGUUGGGGGGCUGAAUAUUAAAUUAGAACAGCCAUGGUCAAAACAGAGAGGGAGGAACUGAAUAUUAAAUUAGAACAGCCAUGGUCAAAACACAGGGGGAGGAACUGAAUAUUAAAUUAGAACAGCCAUGGUCAAAACAGAGGGAGGAACUGAAUAUUAAAUUAGAACAGCCAUGGUCAAAACAGAGGGGGAGGAACUGAAUAUUAAAUUAGAACAGCCAUGGUCAAAACACAGGGGAGGAACUGAAUAUUAAAUUAGAACAGCCAUGGUCAAAACAGAGGGAGGAACUGAAUAUUAAAUUAGAACAGCCAUGGUCAAAACAGAGGGAGGAACUGAAUAUUAAAUUAGAACAGCCAACUGGAACUGAAAAGGGGAGGAACUGAAUAUUAAAUUAGAACAGCCAUGGUCAAAAAGGGGAGGGACCAUAGUACUGUUUUUGUUUGUUUGGUAAGAAUAAAAAGUUGUUUUUACGUUCGCUUGUGAGCAUCGACAGAGACCAGAGUGGUUUCUGGGCCCCGCUGCAAGAGUGUGUGUGUGUGUGUGUGUGUGUGUGUGUGUGUGUGUGUGUGUGUGUGUGUGUGUGUGUGUGUUGUAGCUACUCUGCUGUGUGUUGACAGUAUGAACCAGAACGUGGUGUGCUUGCAGUGAUGCAUAUUUUGGAUUUAUUCCUCUCAGAAUAAAUAAAUGUUCUA